rnacentral:rRNA from 1 species
AUGACAAGUGUCCAUACAUACAUGAAGCCUGACAUCUUCCUGACCAUGACCUGCAACCCCAACUAGGAAGAGAUAUUGAAUGAGUUGUUUCCUGGUUAGACAGCACAAGACCGGCCUGAUCUUGUGGCUCAUGUGUUCCAUGGAAAGCUAGAAGCUAUGAAUGAGAUGUUAUUCAAGAAGCAUAUCCUGGGUGUUGUUGUCGCGUAUGUAUACGUAGUCGAGUUCCAAAAGAGGCCCCCCCCACACACUUUCCGUUGA